GCAACUUUUUUAGCCAAAAUUACUUUAAGUAUGCAGGUUGAGAGUUAUGUUGAUGGUUCUGCAUCCAUUUCUGGGUCGAUUGGUGGGUGUGUCAUUUACCCAUGUCGCCUCUCCAGUGAAAAAGCGCACAUGCAACUUGCUCUGUUCGGACCGACACAAUCAGGAUGUGACGCAGCGGAAGUAUCCUCGAAAAUGUAGUCAGAUUGUAGUUUCAAAAAUGCUUUACGGCACAGACACCGGCUGUAUAUAAACAGCCAGUUGCGUGGUACUUGUUGCAUUCAUUAUGGAUCCAUCGACCGAUACGAGACCCAAGAGGCGAUUGUCGGUGGAACAGAAGGAGAAUAAGAAGAAGUUGGAUCGGAGAAGAGAUCAUACACGAGUAAACAUAGGGCAAGCUUUUGCGGAAUGGCGUCAAAUAAGGGAAUCCGAAGACUGCAAAACGGACGCCGACUUGGCUUUGUUGCUGUUGAAAUUUUUUAAGUGAUGGCAAACUGGAUCUACCCCUAGCAAGAAGCGCCCAAGACCACAACAACCACCGGUGUCAAGUGUCACGGAGGACUCUGACCUCAAAACACAGUUAGCCAAGCGAGAUCUUGGUGUGCAGCCACUGGAGGAAGAGGGAACAAUUGGGGUUUUGGAUACAAGCAUGAAGUCCCUGGGCAGUGGUGGGGACGAGUGCGACUCUCCAGAUGAGGGGCAGGCCAAUAACUUGCAGGACUCCAUGGAAGUAGCUCUCUGCAGUCCAUCACUAUUUAUUUAAUUUACUCACACUGAACCUUUCCUUGUAUAUGACAUGUGUGUUUUUCUCACACCCAGCAUUGAGAUAGAUGAUUUCAUGCAAGACCCUGUUAAUUUGGACCUGGAUGAUGGGGACAGCUCCGAUGAUGGAUUUGUCCCUUCUCUUUAUCUAAGGUAUGUCCCUUCUCUUUAUCUAAGGUGUAUGUUCCCUUUCACCACUAGGACUGCCUCGAAUUCAAUUAUGCAAGUACCCUGAUGCUAAAACAACACUUUUUUGUUUUAGCAAGAAACAAUGUUGUAUUUAUUAUGAAGUACUUUAUCAAAAUGUGUUCCUAUUUAUACAGGAACGUCUGUGACAACA